rnacentral:lncRNA from 1 species
UAGAGGGGGGGUGAAUAGUCGAACCUGAAAUUUUUCACAAUUUUGAACAAGUUUAUCAGCGACUUCCGGAGUUUCUGGAGAUUAUUCUAGAAAUUCCUCAACUUACAGAAUUUUCGGAGAAAUCUUUGGAUUCUCUGGAGAAACAAGAAUUUGAAAUACGACCUUUUGAAAGACUUGCUCAAAUGUAAACCACCGAAUAUAGGUUAAGAAAUAGGAUAUUCUAGGCCUGUGGCAUAAUAUAGAACAACUGGAAACUUGCUAGAAAAGUAGAUCGAGCACAAACACUAGAAAUAUGUUCUAUGCUUGAAUAUGAACAAAUUUAAGAACAACAAGCACAAGAGACACAAGGAUUUGUUUACCGAAGUUCAGCUUCACACCUUGAAGCCUACGUCUCUGUGAGGACCCUGAAGGGUGGGCUUUUCACACCUAAGCCACUUUCCUCACUCUAGCGACCACAAGGAUCAAGCUAGAGUCACUUACUCAAUUUUCAGGAUAAUACAAACUUUCUGUAGACAGCCACAACCUUGGAUGCUUCAUGGGCAACGCCUAGCUGGCUAGGAGCUUGAAGCUCCAAGAGUAACAAAUGCAAAAUCACCAGCUUGACGAAGAACAAGGUGCUGAAGAGAUGGAAAAUCUGCUCACUAGCACUCUUCCUUACUCUUCCUUGAAUCCCUCCUUAAAUCCCCCACCAAAUAUUCACCUAAAUGCCAAGAGAAGAGUAAAGAGGGGCUUUGAAUGUUUCUGAAUAGCUCAGGUCAAAGUUAGGUUGAGAGAGAGACUGUGGGAGGGGGUGAGCCCUCACCCUGAGACUAGCUGUUGGCAGUUAAGUUCCGAAGUUUUCUGUAACUUUUUCCAGAAACUCUGGAACCCCCGGAUUCUUUCGGAACAAUUCCGAAAAUCUUUGGACUUCCAAAAUUUUUCAGAAUACUUUCUGG